UCACUUGUCCCUUAAAUGAGGACGCGUAUGAAAGGCAACAUGAGAGAAGACCUGUCUCCUAAGGAAUGCCAAUGAAAUUGAACUGCCAGUUCAAAAGCUGGUAUAAAAAAGCAAGACAAAAAGACCCUGUGGAACUUUAAUUAACUGCUUUACAUAAUAAAACCAGUAAUUUCAGUUGGGACAACUUUAGAAAAAAUUAACUUCCUAAUUUUACUAGACUAACUAGUCCAAAACAACCAUGACCCAGUAAUACUGAUUAACGAAACAAGCUACCCCAGGGAUAACAGCGCCACCUUCUCAAAGAGUCCAUAUCAACAAGAAGAUCUACGACCUCGAUGUUGGAUCAGGGUACCCAGACGGUG
rnacentral:rRNA from 1 species